rnacentral:rRNA from 1 species
GACGAACGCUGGCGGCGUGCUUAACACAUGCAAGUCGAACGGAAAGGCCCUGCUUUUGUGGGGUGCUCGAGUGGCGAACGGGUGAGUAACACGUGAGUAACCUGCCCUUGACUUUGGGAUAACUUCAGGAAACUGGGGCUAAUACCGGAUAGGAGCUCCUGCUGCAUGGUGGGGGUUGGAAAGUUUCGGCGGUUGGGGAUGGACUCGCGGCUUAUCAGCUUGUUGGUGGGGUAGUGGCUUACCAAGGCUUUGACGGGUAGCCGGCCUGAGAGGGUGACCGGGCGCGUUGGGACUGAGGUAGGGCCCAGACUCGUACGGGAGGCAGCAGUGGGGAAUAUUGCACAAUGGGCGGAAGCCUGAUGCAGCAACGCCGCGUGCGGGAUGACGGCCUUCGGGUUGUAAACCGCUUUCGCCUGUGACGAAGCGUGAGUGACGGUAAUGGGUAAAGAAGCACCGGCUAACUACGUG